UUCCACUCUGUAGGUUCCAGAGUUUGAUCUCAGGUCACCAGGCACGGGGGCGAAGUGCCCUUUACUGGCCAAGUCAUCUCGGCACCAUUCAGCAAGUGUAAUUUUGACUGCACAUAUCACGAGAGAAGCAGUUUCUGUUUAUUCAUCUCACCUAUGAACCCUUCAUGCCCCUGGUUCCCGACAGGCCCUUGUGUGCUCACGGUCUCUGCAGGAGCAAGGCGCUUCGCAGUCAUUGCUAAUAUGACCGAAGAGAUGUCCUGGCUAAAUGUGAUGUGUGGAGAUAGUCCACUGGCUUCAGAAGGAUCUGCUGAAGAUGAAAUGGGUUGCACUUGUCUGAGACAGCAAACUCUGCUGAUAGUGCUGGCCAUCAAGUUUUGUGCAGGCAGCCGCGGAGGCUGCUGUGAGUUCGUGAAUGCUGUCACUCGGUCAUGACCAGAAGACACGGUUUCACCCCUGUUUUCCCAAACUGCUGGCUCUGACAGUCUUUCUAUUCCCUCCUCUUGUGGCUGUUCCUGGGCCUUUGGAGGAGGAGUGUUGUAAACGCACGCCACAGACACUGAACUUGCUGCACGUUGAUCAGUUGCGAGUUUCUGCAUUAGCCGCCACCCACACAAAGGAACUUCUGUGGUGAGGCCUGAGAUCUAUAGUAAUCCCUGAUAGAGGACAGUUGGUACUAUGUCCAUUUAGCAGAAUCAUGGUGGCAUCUUCACCCAUGGGGGUCAGUGAGCUUCCCAACCAUGCAUUCUUGGCUAGAUUUACAGCAUCAGGCAGGUGUUUCUACCUAUGGAACAGACCUCGGAUCCAAUUAAAAAGGAAGUUGGCUACCCCCA